CUCACCACGGGCUAUUUAGGCGUUCAGCAGACAUAGACUUGAUAUUUGUUUUCUACUUUUUUGUGCCAUCACUUCAUGAGCCAUAAGAAAGUGAGUGGCUAGACGUUGGAUAUGGUAUUAGGGCCUAUAAGAGUAAAGCCCAAAAUAUAUGGUUAUACAGAUCAUA